rnacentral:rRNA from 1 species
GAUGAACGCUGGCGGCGUGCCUAAUACAUGCAAGUCGAGCGAACAGACGAGGAGCUUGCUCCUCUGACGUUAGCGGCGGACGGGUGAGUAACACGUGGAUAACCUACCUAUAAGACUGGGAUAACUUCGGGAAACCGGAGCUAAUACCGGAUAAUAUAUUGAACCGCAUGGUUCAAUAGUGAAAGACGGUUUUGCUGUCACUUAUAGAUGGAUCCGCGCCGCAUUAGCUAGUUGGUAAGGUAACGGCUUACCAAGGCAACGAUGCGUAGCCGACCUGAGAGGGUGAUCGGCAACCUUGAACCUGAGAACCGGUCAAGCCCCUUAGGGGAGGCAGAAGUAGGGAAUCUUCAGCAAUGGGCGAAAGCUUGACGGAGCAACGCGGCGUGGGUGAUGAAGGUCUUCGGAUCGUAAAACUCUGUUAUUAGGGAAGAACAAAUGUGUAAGUAACUAUGCAGGUCUGGACGGUACCUAAUAAGAAAGCCACGCUUAAUUACGU